UAGGGAAUCUUCGGCAAUGGACGAAAGUCUGACCGAGCAACGCCGCGUGAGUGAAGAAGGUUUUCGGAUCGUAAAACUCUGUUGUUAGAGAAGAACAAGGACGUUAGUAACUGAACGUCCCCUGACGGUAUCUAACCAGAAAGCCACGGCUAACUACGUGCCAGCAGCCGCGGUAAUACGUAGGUGGCAAUCGUUGUCCGGAUUUAUUGGGCGUAAAGCGAGCGCAGGCGGUUUCUUAAGUCUGAUGUGAAAGCCCCCGGCUCAACCGGGGAGGGUCAUUGGAAACUGGGAGACUUGAGUGCAGAAGAGGAGAGUGGAAUUCCAUGUGUAGCGGUGAAAUGCGUAGAUAUAUGGAGGAACACCAGUGGCGAAGGCGGCUCUCUGGUCUGUAACUGACGCUGAGGCUCGAAAGCGUGGGGAGCAAACAGG
rnacentral:rRNA from 1 species